rnacentral:rRNA from 1 species
UACGUAUGGAGCAAGCGUUAUCCGGAUUUACUGGGUGUAAAGGGUGCGCAGGCGGCGCGGCAAGUCAGAUGUGAAAGACCGGGGCUCAACCCCGGGGCUGCAUUUGAAACUGCGGUGCUCGAGUCCAGGAGAGGCAGGCGGAAUUCCUAGUGUAGCGGUGAAAUGCGUAGAUAUUAGGAGGAACACCAGUGGCGAAGGCGGCCUGCUGGACUGGUACUGACGCUGAGGCACGAAAGCGUGGGGAGCAAACAGG